rnacentral:rRNA from 1 species
CCUACGGGAGGCAGCAGUGGGGAAUCUUGCGCAAUGGGCGAAAGCCUGACGCAGCAACGCCGCGUGCGGGAAGAAGGCUUUCGGGCUGUAAACCGCUUUCAGCAGGAACGAAAAUGACGGUACCUGCAGAAGAAGGAGCGGCCAACUAUGUGCCAGCAGCCGCGGCGAUACAUAGGCUUCAAGCGUUGUCCGGAUUUAUUGGGCGUAAAGAGUUCGUAGGCGGUCGAGUAAGUCGGGUGUGAAAAUUCUGGGCUCAACCCAGAGACGCCACCCGAUACUGCUUGACUUGAGUUCGAUAGGGGAGUGGGGAAUUCCUAGUGUAGCGGUGAAAUGCGCAGAUAUUAGGAGGAACACCGGUGGCGAAGGCGCCACUCUGGAUCGAUACUGACGCUGAGGAACGAAAGCAUGGGUAGCAAACAGGAUUAGAUACCCUGGUAGUCCAUGCCGUAAACGGUGGGCACUAGGUGUGGGUUUCUAUUAACGAAAUCCGCGCCGUCGCUAACGCAUUAAGUGCCCCGCCUGGGGAGUACGGUCGCAAGACUAAAACUCAAAUGAAUUGACGG